GACGAACGCUGGCGGCGUGCUUAACACAUGCAAGUCGAACGGAAAGGCCCUGCUUUUGUGGGGUGCUCGAGUGGCGAACGGGUGAGUAACACGUGAGUAACCUGCCCUUGACUUUGGGAUAACUUCAGGAAACUGGGGCUAAUACCGGAUAGGAGCUCCUGCUGCAUGGUGGGGGUUGGAAAGUUUCGGCGGUUGGGGAUGGACUCGCGGCUUAUCAGCUUGUUGGUGGGGUAGUGGCUUACCAAGGCUUUGACGGGUAGCCGGCCUGAGAGGGUGACCGGCCACAUUGGGAGUGUGAGACGGCCCCGACUCCUCCGGGAGGCAGCAGUGUGGAAUAUUGCACAAUGGGCGGAAGCCUGAUGCAGCAACGCCGCGUGCGGGAUGUCGGCCUUCGGGUUGUAAACCGCUUUCGCCUGUGACGAAGCGUGAGUGACGGUAAUGGGUAAAGAAGCAACGGCUAACUCCGUG
rnacentral:rRNA from 1 species